CAUUUCAGCCAUAAAAUAUGAAAAAGAAGAAGAACGCCUGUGGCGCCAUUGUGGGAAAAGUGAGAAAAAUUUGAACUAAAAACUAAAAUGUCGCCAAGAUUUUUAUAUUUAUACAAAGAUCUAAUCUAAAUCUUGUUUUUAAUAAAUAUUUUCUUUUAGGCACAGCAUUAUUUAUGCAGCAAAAAAUGAUCAUGACUGGGCAACAUUUUCCAUUGUGGGAAGUUCUUUUACGAUUUUUCUGAUUUUCUGGUAGAAAAAAUAGUUUUUCUGUGCACUAUUUGAGCUUAUUCUGUCCCUUAUGGCCUGUUUAACCUCCUGUAACUAAGAAAAGAUCUGAAUCGUCCUCUAAUUCUAACUUGAAUGUUCGGCCAUCAAUGACCUGCAUAGCAAGUACAGGUACCCAAGGAAGUUACUACCCUCCAUAUCUACGAACUUACUGUGGGUUAAUCUUCAACCGAGGGUAAAAUUAGCUGCAAGAAGGUAAUGUCGCAUUAGGAAACAAAGAUUUACAAGAGGAGGUUUAUAUAAAAGUUCAGCUCUAUCUUGAACUACUGCUGUACAAGAAAUUCAAAACAUGUUAAUAAUACCACACAAGAGAACGGUGUCUUUCUGCAUCCUUCCACAGAAGAAGAGACCUAGGUCAUCCUCUUACUUUGAUGUUCGGCUAUCGAGGACCUGCAUAGCAUAUAUGGGUACCCAAGAAAGUUACUACCUUCUAUGUCUAGGAGCCGGGUGAUGCUUAAUCUUGGACCAAGAGAAAAUCAGCUGCAGGAAGAUGAAUAUACAUCGGGAGACAAAGAUUUAUGAUAAAUGGAGGAUAGCAUGACAUAGUUUUUUAGCUCUAUCUUGUAUUUCUAACCACUACAUUACAAGGAAUUAAAAGAAUGAAAAAAUUAUUGUUUUUGUGGAAAUCUGCACUUAGUUUUCACGGAGCUAUUUGAAUGAUAUUUGGCAACACGGCACUGAAAAUACUGCGACACUGGCUGUGUUCAAACAAUUUUCACCUUUAAAAGAUACAUGUUAAUAAAUACCACACAAGAGAAUGGUGUCUUUUUGUGUCCUUCCACAGUAGAGGAGACCUGGAUCAUCCUCUAACACUGAUGUUCGGCCAUUGAGAACCUGCAUAUAUGGGAGUAUAUAUCCAAGGGAGCUCUCUCUAUGUCUAGGAGCUGCGUGAGGCUUAAUCGACCAAGGCUUAAAUCAACUGCAGGAAGAUGAAUACGCAUCAGGAGACAAAUAUUUAUGAUAAAUGGAGGAUAGCUGACAUAGUUUGGCUCUAUCUUGUAUUUUUAAUCCCUACUUUACAAGGAAUUAAAAGGAUGAAAAAUUUAUAUUUUUUUCUCAGAGUUUUUGUGGAAAUCUGCAUUUGGUCUUCAAGGAGCUAUUCGAAUGGUACUUGGCAACACGGCACUGCAAAUAUUAAUUCACUGAGACACUGGCUGUGUUCAAACAAUUUUCACCCUUAAAAGCUGUUUUCCCACUACUUUUCAAUAUUAAAAAGAAUAUUCUGUGGCAAUGUGCAGGUGAUUUUCUCAACAAACCUUUAAAGGAAUGGAAUGUCUCAAUAGUGCCACAGGUACUACUUUGCUGAGACAUUGAUGGGCUUUGGGCAACAAUUCGCCUUAGAAAGAUGUUUUCCCACUACUUCUCAAUAUUAAAAAGAAUAUUCUGUGGCAAUGUGCAGGUGAUUUUCAACAAAAACUUGGCCGGAAUGGAAUGUAUCGACAGUACCAUGCAGGUACUACUUUGCCGAGAUAUAGACUGGGCUUCAGGCAACUAUUCGCCUUAAAAAGAUGAGCGUUAUUAAUAAUACACACCUGCACAUAGAGACCACCUAAAAGAAGAAGAGAUAAUUGUGAUGUUUGGCAUAUUCUGGCAUAGGAUAUUGGUUUUACAUUUUCCAGUUAAAACACAUGUUUAGGACCAGUAGUAUUGAUAAGAAGAAGAAUAUUACUUUGAUUCUGUGGUUACUCUUCACUUCCGCCUUAAAAUAUGAAAAAGAAGAAGAACGCCUGUGGCGCCAUUGUGGGAAAAGUGAGAAAAAUUUGAACUAAAAACUAAAAUGUCGCCAAGAUUUUUUAUUUUCAUGCAAAGAUGGGGUAGUAACUAAAUCUUGUUUUUGUAAGUAUAAAACGAAUUAAAUGGUUACAAAGUCAUUAUAAAUCUAAUAAACACUUUAAUUCUGUAGAAUAAAUGUUUUCUUCUAGGCACAACAUUAUUUACGCAGCAAAACAUGAUCAGAUGAUCAUGACGGCGAUGACAUUUUCCAUUGUGGGAAGUUCUUUUACAAUUUUUCUGAUUUUCUGGUAGAAAAAAUGGUUUUUCGGUGCAAUACUUGAGCUUAUUCUGUCCCUUAAGGCCUGUUUAAUCUCCUGUAACUAAAAGGAGACCUUGGAUCAUCCUCUAAGUUGAAUGUUCGGCCAUCGAUAACCUGUAUAGCAACAAAGAAUAUUAUAGUUUUCUUUAUUCUGUAUAGAUAUUCUUUGAUAGCAAGUACAGGUACCCAAGGAAGUUACUACCCUCCAUAUCUACGAACUUACUGUAGGUUAAUCUUCAACCAAGGGUUAAAUUAGCUGCAAGAAGGUAAUUCGCAUUAGGAGAGAAAGAUUUAUAAGAGGAGGAUAUAAAUGUUCAGCUCUAUCUUCAACUACUGCUGUACAAGAAAUUCAAAACAUGUUAAUAAUACCGCACAAGAGAACAGUGUCUUUCUGCAUCCUUCCACAGAAGAAGAGACCUAGGUCAUCCUCUAACUUUGAUGUUCGGCUAUCGAGGACCUGCAUAGCAUAUAUGGGUACCCAAGGAAGUUACCACCCUCUAUGUCUAGGAGCCGGGUGAUGCUUAAUCUUCGACCAAGGGUUAAAUCAGCUGCAGGAAGAUCAGGAGGCAAAGAUUUAUGAUAAAUGGAGGAUAGCAUUACAUAGUUUAGCUCAAUCUUGUAUUUCUAACCACUACAUUAGAAGGAAUUAAUAAUCAUUUACAAAAGUAUUGAAAAACUGUGGCGGCAAGAGUUUUUGUGGAAAUCUACACUUAGUUUCCAAGGAGUUAUUUGAAUGGUACUUGGCAACACGGCACUGCAAAUACUACUUCACUGAGGCACUGGCUGUGUUCAAACAAUUUUCACCUUUAAAAGAUGUUUCCCACUACUUCUCAAUAUUAAAAAGAAUAUUCUGUGGCAAUGUGCAGGUGAUUUUCAACAAACGCUUAUAGGAAUAGAAUGUAUCAACAGUACCCAGCAGGUACCACUUUGCUGAGACAUUGACUGGCUUCAGGCAACUAUUCGCCUUAAAAAAAUGUUUAUGGUACUGGUUCUGUAACAACUGCAGCUGUUAUUGGUACUCCUACUUAUUUGAUCCUCCUGUACAUUCCCCAUUGAAGAUAUAGAACAAAACGCAGACUUAGGAUAGGAACAUUUCAUUUUGAUCACACUGAUCUCAUUUUUUUAAUUCUAUGAUUUUUUUAAAGUAAAAUUUAGAUAAAAUGAUUAAAUUCUGUUAUUUGUCCAUAAAUUCUUAGUACAAACGUAAAUGUUUUUAUAUAUUUUAAGUUAAAAUUCAAAUAUUUAUAUUUUUAAAACUAGUACCUCUUCAAGAAUAUAUUUUAGUUAAUUCUAGUUGUAAAAAAUACGGAAUUUAAAUUUAUCUAAAUUUUAUUUAUUGAUUAUUUGCAGUGUUAACAUUACAGUGUUCCACACAACCUGUUCAGAAAGUGGAAAAUAUAUUUCAAAAUACAACUUAAUAAAAAAUAAAUGUUUUAAAUUGGAUCCCGAAAUAAUUUUUAAUGGACCGAUUGUGUGGACACUCUGUAUGUUAUAUACUGUUAUAUUAGCGUUUCUCUCUUUAAAAAAGGAUUUUAAAUUGAUAUUUUUUAAAUCGGCAUUAAAAAAGCAAAAUUUUACUAAAUGGCGAAUGCGCUAGGAAAUAAAAUAUUGAAAUUAGCAGAUUUUUUAAAAAA
rnacentral:lncRNA from 1 species